UUUGAUCCUGGCUCAGAUUGAACGCUGGCGGCAGGCCUAACACAUGCAAGUCGAGCGGAAACGAGAAGUAGCUUGCUACUUCGGCGUCGAGCGGCGGACGGGUGAGUAAUGCAUAGGAAGUUGCCCAGUAGAGGGGGAUAACCAUUGGAAACGAUGGCUAAUACCGCAUAACCUCUUCGGAGCAAAGCGGGGGACCUUCGGGCCUCGCGCUACUGGAUACGCCUAUGUGGGAUUAGCUAGUUGGUGAGGUAAUGGCUCACCAAGGCGACGAUCCCUAGCUGGUCUGAGAGGAUGAUCAGCCACACUGGGACUGAGACACGGCCCAGACUCCUACGGGAGGCAGCAGUGGGGAAUAUUGCACAAUGGGCGAAAGCCUGAUGCAGCCAUGCCGCGUGUAUGAAGAAGGCCUUCGGGUUGUAAAGUACUUUCAGUUGUGAGGAAGGUUUCGUCGUUAAUAGCGGCGUUGCUUGACGUUAGCAACAGAAGAAGCACCGGCUAACUCCGUGCCAGCAG
rnacentral:rRNA from 1 species